rnacentral:lncRNA from 1 species
UUCGCCCCGCCCUUCGCGGCGCGGACUACGGAAGUGCUGUGGUUGGGAAAGGCCGAGUCCGCAGCUAGGUGGUCCCGGGCCGCGAGCCUUUCAACGCCGAUGACACCCCCACGCCCAGCCAGAGGGUUGCAGCCAGGCACCCCAGUUGCCUGACUUCGCGUCCCACUCGCUCUGUCUCCCGCGAGCCGUUCUCCCACUGGCUCAGUAUCCCCAGAGGACUUGGCGGACCCCGGGAUCCCUGGCGCCUCCGCAUCUCUUCCGCUUCCCCAACACCUCCCUCUCUUCCCCACAUCUUUCAUCUGCCCUGUGGAGGGAGAGAUGGGAAAGCGAUGGUAGCAGCCGAGGGAGCAGAGAAUCCGGGGCGGGGGGUGAUCCGGGAUGGAGAAGGGGUCCGUUGGGAAAAGUCCGACCCACCAAAAAAGGCCUGGCCUCCCCCUCAAGCCUGCGGGGCUGGAUUGGGAGAUGCGCGCAGCAGUGGAGGACAUAAACGACGUGACCCGCCGGGAGAAGACAAGGCCUCUCCAAAGAGGCUACAACUGGCAGGGCGGAAGGGGGCGAGGAGGAAGUCGAAGCCCUCUGGCCACUUGGGUUUUGAGGAAGCGAAAUCGGAAAUUCCGUAUGUGGGGCAACAAUGAAAUCUUGUGGGAACUUAGGGGGAAUUUAAAAACCCAAAUACUUCCGCUUUCACGUUAGGAACACCACCAGUAACCCCGACCUAUGCCCCAUCAUCUUACCGGUUCCUGGCUGUUCCAUUGGGUUCAUGCCCCCGCCAUCAUCCCUGGCCACAGCGGGACCCUCUUGGCUGUCCAGGCUGGUAAGAAGCUUCAGUGGGUGAUGUCAGAGCUUUGGGGACUGUGAUUGUUAUGUAACCAAUAUCAGGACACCUGAGUGUGGGAGGGGGACCUGGGAGCUGUUGGAAGUCUAAAGUAAGCCAGAGAACUGGUGGUGGCACCUGCCUGUAGUUCAGCUGCUGGAGGGCUGAGGUGGAAGAAUCUCUUGAGCCCACAAGAUGAAGACUGGCCUGGCCGUCAACAGCCACCAAAAUAAUAACAAAGUUAUGGGGCUGGAGGUGUAGCUCAGUGAUAGUGUGCCCACUUAGCAUGCAGAAGGCUCUGGGUUUGAAGCCCAGACCAUUAAAAAAAAAAAAAGCCAGGGAUGAUGGUGGAACAUCUGUAAUCCUAGCAAUUUGGGAAACUGAGGUAGGAGGAUGGUAAAUUGGAGACUAGCUUGGUCAAUUUACCAAGACCCUGUCUCAAAAAGGGGUGGGGGGCUUGGUAGUGCUCACCUAUAAUCUCAGCAGCUCUGGAGGCUGAGGCAGGAGAAUGGUGAGUUCAAGACCAACCUAAGUAACUUAGUGAGGCCCUGUCUCUAAAUUAAAAAAAAAAGGGGGGGUGGGGGUGGGAAUGUGGCUCAGUGGUUAAGCCCCUGUGUUCAAUCCCCAGUACCAAAAUAAAAGGGCUCGUAAUGUAAACUCUGAUAGAACACUUGCCUGCUUAUGAGAUCCUGGGUUCAACCUCUAGUACCACAAAAAUAUUAAUAGUAAUAAAAUAAACUUUAAAAUGAGCCAGGCUGGGCAUGAUGGUGCAUGCUGUAAUCCCAGUAACUAGGAGGCAGAGGCAGGAGGAUUGUAAGUUCAAAGCCAGCUUCAGCAACUUAGCAGAUCCUAUCUUAAAAAAAAAAAAAAAAGAUGGGGAUGUGGCUCUGUAAUUAAGCAUCCCUAGGUUUGAUCCUCAGGACCAAAAAAUAAAAUAGAAAAUAAAAUGAGUUGGAGUGGAGGCUCAGUGGUAGUUGUGGAGUUGUGGCUCAGUGGUAAGAGUGCUCACCUAGCACAGGUGAGACACUGGGUUCAAUACUCAGCACCACAUAAAAAUAAAUACAUAAAAAUAAAGGCAUUGUGACCACCUACAACUAAAAAAUAUUUUUAAAAAUAAACGAGUCAGGCACAGUAGUACACACCUCUAAUCCCAGUUACUCUUGAAGCAAGAGGAUCAUAGUGUGAGGCCAGUCUGGGCGAUUUAGACCAUGUGUCAAAAAACAAGGGGGAAAUGGGGAUAGAAGGGUUGGGGAUGUAGUUCAGUGGCAACACCCCUGGGUUCAAUCCCCAGUCUAAAUAAUGCAUGCAUAACCUGGGAACAUGAAAGACUCCUGACUUCUGAGAGAUGGGGAAAUCUGGAGGACUGGGCUCCUGUAUCAGGGAAGAAAGCCGACUGGCAAGCAGAAAGAACAGGCAGGAGGUCAAAUCUGAGAACAGGCCGUGUAUAUAUUGGGGGAUCUCAAUUAGGUGGGAUCCAAAGAGGACAAGAUGGGAAGUUUGGGCCUCUCUACUUUCUGAGGGAAUAUUUAUUGUUUUCCCCUCUCAUUCCUAACCCAUCGGAGAGAAUGUGUUAUUCCAGUCCUGCCUGUUGUCCUGCCCGUUGUCCUGACUUACUGCCUUCAUGGGGAAUUCUAUUAGCAUUCUUUCCAUCUAUCACAGUAAGAUAGAGAACCCAGAAGACUUUUUUUGCAGGAUAUGAAGGUGUUCUCAAGAGGAUGUUGAUGCUCCUGGGUUCAGGGGGAUGUCAUCAGAGACUGUGCCAGCUUGUGACCAGGAUCCUCCAGCAGGCCCAGUCCAGACUUCCUGUGUCAGCCUUGGAAACCAAAGGAUUUGCCUCCUACACAGCAGUGAUGAGGGGUCCACCCCGGAGACGUAAUUUCUGGGCUGAUCCAGGGGAAGGCCUGAGGCAGAGGACCCUAAAUGACAUGGUUGUUCAGUGGCAUGAAUAGCUAUGGGGAGCUCAGUCUCUAGCUCACUUACAUUGACCUGCCAUGGUUCUCCCAUCUCCCCAGGGCCCUGUGAACUGGGAAAACCCAGCCCCAGAAAAUUGAGAACAAAAUGUUCCUGGGUUAUUUAUAAAUGAAACCCAGACCCUGUUGUUCUAUGUGUCCACUCAACUUUCUCCAAGGAUUUCAAAGGACUGGAAGAAGGGAUCUCCCUCCUUCUGUCAUGAGGCUCAGUUACCCCAAGUUCCCUGAGUUGGUGCCCAGAUCCUGGGCAGCUUCCUUAUCUUGUGAUGUCUCAGAUUGUGAAAAUAUCCUGAUAUUACUUCUUUUGUCUUUUUUGAAUAGGGCACUUUUGUUCAGUGGGAAAGUUUCAGGAAAUUUGAAUGAGCCAUUUUACUUUUGGUUUCUCUCUUUCACUUUCUGCUUGUCUGCCUGGGACCAGGGCAGACUGGGGAGGGUUCAAAUAUUUCCUUUGGGGCUGGGGUAGUGGCUCAGUGGUAGAGCACUUGCCUAGCACGUGUGGCACUGGGUUCAUUCCCCAGCACCACAUUAAAAAACUAAACAAAGUUAUUAUGUCCAUCUACAAUUAAAAAUAUUUCUUAAAAAUUUUCCUUUUAUUUCAGAAACCAUGCCCACCCACCCACCCCCGCUCAGUAAUUUCCUCUUUGGUUCACAAACACACACCUGCAACCUGGAACUAUUGGGUCUGUUCAGAGGCUGCCCUACACCAGCAGAAAAAGGUCUCCUACUGCCUUGCCCUCCCUCAAAGCAGUCUGCUCUGUCCCCUAGCAGCUUGGUCUAGGGAAAUGUCUACAUGUCCCUAAAGACAGCUUUAAAAAAGGGCGGGGGGCGGGGUUGUUUUUUUUCUCUCCAAAUAUGGCAGAAGAAUUAGGCUGGGAAAAGCCCAAAACUAAGGUUUCUCCCUCAAAUGAGAAGUGGUUCAUUAUUUCCACUGAGAAAGUUUGCAUAUAAGUGUAGAUUAUUUGCUCUUGCAAUCAUGAAGAGAUUUGGCCUGCAGACCAGUUUUGCCAAACCAAGGUAAAACAGGUUAGGUUUGCCAAACCCGCAGUGGUCUGUCCUUUUGCAUGGCAGGAUCUUUAGCGCUGGCCACAAGGGCAUCCUUUGCACACCAUGAGGCCCCUUUCUUGCAGCAGCUGUGUGACCUUGGCCUGUGCUCUGGGGAGAGCUGCUGGGCUCCAGAGGCCUCUGCAGACAUCUGGCAGUCCGGACAUGGCUGGGCUCAGAGAUGACAGUAGCAGGAUCUCAUCUACUUUCAAAUCCCAGUGAGAAAAAGCCUGAGGCCCUGUGGUAUUCAGUGACUUGCUUGUAGUGUCCCAGGCUGAGCGAGAUGCUGGGCUUUUGGAAUCUGAACACGUCUCUUUUCACACUCUGACCAUUCGAAGCUGCCAGAUCCGGCAGGUGGAAAAGCAGCCAGAGCAUCAGAACCUCUCUCCCAGGCACAGGCUGAAGCGAACUCUGCCCGAGGCUCACCAGCCCCCUCUGGCCCCUUUGCUCCUCUGGAGCCCUGGUGACAGGUGGGCAUGCAUGUGUGACUACAGGGAGGGUUUUGCAGAGCUGAGACCUAGACACCUCUGUGCAUUUUUGGUAAAAACAAAAGUUCAACUGCUGGGCUAGAGGCCAUCUGCUGCUAGGCUUCUAAACAUGCAUCUCAAUCUCUGGGAUCUCUGGCCCUACUUUGCAGCUACUGCUGAGGCAGGAGCUGAGCAGAGAGCAGGGCACAGCAUUUACCCUAGACUGGCUGGAGAGACCCAGGGCUGUCCUGGCCCCAUUUUGGCUCCAGCCUUCACUGUGGCCAACUGGACUAUGAGGUCUCCUCAGGAAGUGGUGAUUAUUUGGUAACAGGAGUAUUCUGCUGGUACUCCUUUACCCUACAGUGGAGGGUGUAACCCUGAUGGCCCCCAGCCUCAGUGGCCUAAGAGCACAAAUGAGGUAGACAGAUGUUGCUGCCUGAGUGACAGGCUGUUGCCCUCUUCAUGUCCGCUCCAGGCACUUUGGGGGUCUCCCCUGUCCUGCUCUCCUAGCUAUAUCUCUCUCACCAUGGUCUCUCCUUCCUGGAGCCUCCAUGGCUGGGGCUGCUCUGACCCUCAUCAUGGGCCUCACCCACUGGGAGCUAGAGAGUCCCUAACCAUGUGUCACACCCAGCAUCAGAGCUUCGCCCAUCUUCAAUGAGCCCAACUCCCCAGGUUUCUAGUUCAGCCACUCACUGUCACGCCGCAGUAGGGGCCAGACAUCAUAACCCGGCCUGCCUCCAGGGCCCUCCUCUAAACCAACACCUCUCUUCUUCAUCCCUCCAAAUCAAAGACUCUGGGCAGGUCUCUUGGGUGGCCCAUGAGUGGUCCAUGCAGGUCCCCUUCUCUGCCAAUGGCCAGUCUCCCACUGUCCUGUUCAGCUAGGACUUUCCUCUGACCUGUAUCUUCUUCAUCCUGUCCUCAAAUACAGGUAAUGGUGAUGAGUCAUCUUAAAGGGGACCAGAAGCCAGAGUCCUUCGCCGAGGCCCAUGGUGACCCAAGGUCCAUGCUUGUUUGCAGAAGGACAUGUUGGGGCCUCCCUGCAGGCAGGACUACAGUGAGACCCUUCUCAGAGUUGGAGUCAGGCCUCCAUCUCCUGCUUAUCCAGUUUGGCCCCCUGCCCCUCAUUACCACAACUGCUCCCAGAAACACCUCUCCUUGUCCUUUAAUCAUGGUCACAGGCAGAACUGCAAUAUGUCCCUGGGGUAUAUACCCAGUGGAGCCCCAGAACUGUGAAUGUCAUGGAUUUCCUACUGUGAUCUGUUGCGUUAGGCAGAACAGCUGCCUUCACAUAGGAAGGUUGUCCUAGGGACCCUCACCUGAGCUCCUUAAAAAGCAGAAUUUUCUCUGGCUGGACAAUCGCAAAAAAGGAAGUCAGAGAUUCAAAGCAAAGGAGAGAGCAAGCUCAUGUUGACUUGAAGAGGGAGGUCGGCUGGCAAGGGAUAUGGAGCCUCUAAGAGCUAAGUGAGGUCCCCAACAACCAGCCAGCAAGGAGAGGGGCACCUCAGCCCCACAACUCAAGAAAGCAGGUUCUGCCAAAAAUGGGAGUGAGCUGGGAAACAGACUGUGCCCAGGCUUGCAGGCUGAGAACCCAACCUGGCUGGCAUCUCCAUUUCGGUGUCUGAGACUGAGCAGAGAACCAUGUGCUUGGACUUCUGACCUACAGAAGUGGCAAGUGCUGGGGAUGAAAUCCAGGGCCUUGCAAACCCUAGGCAAGUGCUCCACCACUGAGCUACACCUCCAGCCCACAAUGGGGCUUUUAAAUCAUGCGGUUUGCAGCAAUCUGCUGUGUGACAACAGACAAUGACUAUAGUGUGCUGGGCGAGGUGGAGCAUGACUGUAAUCCCAACCAUUCGAGACGGAAGUGGGAGGAUACCAAGUUCAAGACCAGUAUGGACAACUUUUAUUUUGAGACCCUGUCUCAAAAUAAAAAGGUCUGGGAUGUAGCUCAGCGAUAGAGCACUGAGUUCCCUGUGUUCCAUCCAAGUACAAAAAAAAAAAAAAAGACUACAGCCCUGUCCUCUUGUCAACCCACAAGUUCACAAGUUACUGGAUAGACAACUCCUGGAACCCAUUAAUUAUAUAUGGGACUGGAGAAGAAUAUGGAAGAAACCUAAAGUGACCAUGGCAUAACCAGGAAAAGAUUUCAAAAGUGACCAUGGUGUGACCUGGCUUGACAUGCCUAGGUAUGCACGAGCACACGCACAUGCAGGCACACAAACAUACAGACUGGUUCUCAAUGGGGAGUUGAGAAAUCCACUGAUUUUGCAGCCCUGGGGACAUUUGGCAAUAUCUGAAGACAUUCUUGGUAGUCACAAGUUGGUGGAUGGCUACUGACAUCCAAUGGAUAGAGACCCGAGAUGUUGCUAACCUUGCAAUGCACACACAGCCCCCCAUAAGUGAUUCACCCCAAAGUCAAUAGGGCAGAAGGUGAGCCAUCUUUAAACACACACACACACACACACACACACACACUCCCUCUUUGCAGGCACUUCUGAGAAACAGCAUAAAGGCCAAAUGCAGGACCCUGGAACAGACUGUCAAGGUUCAAGUUGAGCUGAGUGUGAUGCUUAGCAAGUUGUUCAAAGUCUCUGAUACCAACUAUAAGUGGGAGAUAACAAGUCACCUUCCUCAUGGGUGUGGUGAGUUGGUGUGCAACAAAGGCUGUGCACAGCCAGCCUUCUGAGUGAUCACGGAUACCUCUGUGGCUCUUCUUGCAUUGAAAGGGCUCUGGCAAUUUUUAUUUAUUUUUCUAUAUUAUCCAAAUGUUAUAUAAUGGGCAUAUUUUACACUUUUAAUGGGGGCAGUGGUGGAAAAUAAAAUGAGGAACAUUCUACAAAACAACUGACUUGUACUCUCCAAAAAUACCAAGGUGGCUGGGGACAGUGGCACACACCUGUAAUCCCAGCAACUCAGGAGGCUGAAGUGGGAGGAUCACAAGUUCAAAGCCAGCCUCAUCAACUUUAAGAGACCCCUGUUUCAAAAUUAAAAGCAAAAAGGGCUGGGAUGUAGCUCAGUGGUAAACAGCUCCUGGGUUCAAUCCCCAGUACCUACCCCCCAAAAUAAGAGUCCUGACAACACCAUGUGUGGUGCCAGUUGAUGGGGACAGUCAGUGACAUUUGAAAGUAGACUGCAUAUUGGAGAACAGCAUUGCACCACAGUCUCAGGCCUAAAUUUGGUAACUUUUUUGUGGUUGAGUAAGGGAUGUCAUUUUUCUUCAGAGAUACAUGUUGAAAUAUUUAAGAGUGAGGGGUCAUUCCUAUGUAACUUACUCUCCAAUGCUUCAGAAAAAAAAAUAAAGUAUGUGUAUGAAAGACAGAAAGAGAAAGCAAAUAUUCUGGCAAAAUGUUAACUAUGGAUGAAUCUGAUAGAGUAUGAGGAUGUUGAUUGCCUUUGUCUUGCAACUUUGCGCAAGUUCCACAAUUUUGGAAACGAAAAACAAAAAGGCCUGUGCACAGGUAUCUUUUCCUUCCACAUGCCUUGGUCAGUGUUACAUCCGCUGGUGCCCCAGCAGUGCCCCUGGAGAAGCAUUGAACGCUGGGUGGUGCGUUACAAAGCUCAGGGCAGCACUGCUCCUAAUAACCCUGGGCGGGGUGCAAAGUCCAUCUCUAGUAAAAAGGAAGAAUAAAUUGUAUCAUUCAUACAACAGAAUACUACAGAAAAGCCGGUGUCCUCAACCACACAGCACUCAGCCAGACCCAGCCACGGAUGCAAACACCAAACCAGGGGACAUGGACACAUUAUUUUGGGUUGCUAGGUAGGCAGGUAAUAAACUACAGAGAAAGGCAGAGCAAGUGGUUAUGUACCAUGAAGGUCAUGAUCGCCCUGACCUGGGGGGACUGCAAGGACACAUUUUGGGAGGACUUUUGGGCCAUGAUGUCUCUUUCUUGACUAGAGUGGAUGUUACACAGGGACUCAUCAUACAUUACUUUACAUUCAUAUAAAUUGAGUCUGUAAGGGUACCAUCAGGAUCCCCACUUCGGGAGAGGCCUGCUACCAAUCUCUCCAUCUCACGCACACCAGUCCCUAGGCGCGACCUUUAGACCUUUAGUCGGGCCGGGCUCAGCUCCUAGGCCCUUGUUGUGACACCGGGCUUCUGGGGCAGGCUUGGGAAGCAGUGGAGUUGGAAGAGGAAGCCCCACUGCCCUGGAGCGCAAGCAGCCCCGCCCAUCCCCAUUGUGGUGCCCAGGGCGCCCCCUGGCGGCGGCCUCAGGGAGCGAGUCUUGUAGAAGAGCAAGCUGUCCCCACCACCAGUGCCUGCGUUUCACUUUCUGCAUCUUUAUGCUGGUGACCUGUCCCUGGGCUUCACUGCAGCAAGGGCUAAAUUCCUAUUCGCUUCUGUCAGGAGUCUUUCUUUGAUUAAGACCACCCAACUCUGACCACUCCUUCCCCAUUGACUCCUUCAGCUGCAAUUGGAACUUUAUUCAUUUGCAUGUAUCUCGGAGCGUGGAGGUGGCAGUGACAAUGGUGAUAGUGAUGGCGAUAGCGAUGAUGGUUAAAAAAAAAAAGACUGGCACCUACUGAGGGCCUCCUGCCUACCAACAUUGAGCUGACCACUCCACAUGUGUGUGAUGCCCUUCCCCAAGCAUCUCCAUUCAUGCUUGUGGUUGGUUCUUCAGCAGUGCAUUUAUUAAGCUCCUCCUCCAGUCAGUGACCACCACACCUGGGGCUGGUGGGGGGAAUAGCCAGGUGCUGGUGAUGGGUAUGAAAGGGAUGCUAGCAGAAGCUGCAGAGCAUCAUGGGAGACCCUGGGUUGGGUAAGAGGGGAGGCCAGUUCCUGCACAGGCAGGCAUCCUGGAGGGAGUGACCCUUGAGUAGAUCUCAGCAGGUUUGAGAGACAGAGCGGGCAGGUGCAGGGAGGCCCAAGCUAGGGAGAAUGUGCACAGACCUGGGCCUACCAGGAAAAGGCCACAGCUGAGUGGAGCAAGGCACCAGAGGGCCUGUUUUGCUCCUGAGUUGAGGCAUGGUCUCCUUUUGAACCAGAGAGCUCUGUAGAGGCAGACAGAGGAGGGGCCCAGGGACUGCCUGCCACUACCUUCCAACCUGGGCCAGCACUUGAGGUCUGGGGCCUGACAAUCCCAAGAAGGCCAGAAUCCGGCGCUCUGUCAUUCCACCAGUGUGUCUUGAACACCAACUAGGCUGGUGGCUGGGGAACAGGACUGAGAGGAUGAGUAAAUUGUGGACUUUGCUCUCCGGGAGGCUGAGGCCAGCACAAGGAUAAGAUAACUACACAGAGCUCGUGAGCUCUGCCUGGAAGGAGAUAAGGGAGGAGGGAGAGGCUCACCAAGCUGGGUGUGGGUGGCAGGGCAGGCCUGCAGGAUCGUGGGAAGGUCUUUGAGGAAGGGUGUCUGAGCUGAGGCUCAUCAGGGGCAGAUGGGGUCCCAGGAAUUCUGAGCAGCAAGGACAGUGGGAUCAAACCCACUUAUGGGGCAAGGGAUGGUAUUGGGACCAGAGGAGAGGCUGCCUGGGGUCCUCAGAAACAGAAGAUCCAGCUCGCUCCAGGACUUUGGCUGGCACGUGUCCCCAGAAGACUGUGUCUGUACCUCCCCAAUAGGCUUACAGGUUACCUCACAAGGGCGCCAGUAGGAUUCUAGGUGCUCACAGGUGACGGGAGGAUGGAAACAAACACAGACCUGCCAAAGGCCUAGGUGGGCACAGCACUCAAGGGCAGGGCAGGGCUCAGGGUGUCCAGGUGGGCACCCAGGGUUGAGAAGUCUUCCUGGCUGGGGCUGCAGUUCGAUCCCCAGCAUCAAGAGAAAAAAAGGCUGGGGCAGGGAUUGAAAUGGUCAGUAAGAUGAGCCUCGCGAAAAAGCUAGAAAUGGUGUCCCAGGUGGAGGGCGUAGCUGGGCCGGAGCAGAGACCGCCCAGGGCAGGCAGUGUGGGCUCAGCUCAGAAAAGCGGGAAGACAAAUGGAGAGAAGAGGGCCUCAGGGAGGAACUGGGGCAGCAGGUCUGCCGCGGCUGGAGACCCCACCCCGCCCCGCCCCUGCAGGUCCUGGCGGCUGGCAUUGAGGCGAACAUACCUGUGACCUAUGGAAUUGGCAGCCAGAGGGGAGACGAGAGCACUGGCUGUCAAUUCAUAGGUCAGAGCCCUGUGCACUCGGUCUUGGUGGCCGGCCGACAGCCUGCCACCCUUGCCAUCCUGGGCUGGGGGCGUCGCCAUGGAAGCCCCCUGCAGUCUGCUGGCCGGUGGUUCCCUCUCCUCCUCCUCCGAGAGUACCAGCCCCCACCCCGGAUAACAGCAGCCCCAGCGGAACCUGUGGACACUUCCACAUGGAGUUGCUGUUACAGGG